GCCCUGGACCAGGCGGCCGUGGCGCGGGUGGCGGCUGCUGUGGUGGCUGUGGGGACGGAGGCGGUGAAGUGCCAUCUUCGGCUAGGUCGUCACAGGCUUCGGCUCAUGGCAUCAAGUGGCAUCCAUCAUAAGAUCGUUAACUGAAGACAAUAUGCAAAAUUCUCACAUGGAUGAAUACAGAAAUUCUAGUAAUGGCAGCACAGGCAACAGUUCAGAGGUAGUGGUAGAACAUCCUACUGAUUUCAGUACUGAGAUUAUGAACGUUACAGAAAUGGAACAGUCACCUGAUGACUCUCCCAAUGUGAAUGCAUCUACAGAAGAAACUGAAAUGGCAAGUGCUGUGGACCUUCCAGUGACGCUGACAGAAACAGAAGCAAAUUUCCCUCCGGAAUAUGAAAAAUUUUGGAAAACUGUAGAAAAUAAUCCUCAGGAUUUUACAGGCUGGGUAUAUUUGCUUCAAUAUGUAGAACAGGAGGUUAGUAACUAUUAAAAUGGUAUCAGAAGGGACAAAUUAAUCAAGUCAUUAAUUUAUAAUGAAACAGUAGACCUUAUUGUUUAUGAUUAAAAUUGACUCAUAAUUUUCAAAUGAAGUUGAAUAACAUUAGGUAGCUACAUUUUUAGCUUUGAAAAUAGCUUACAGCUUUU
rnacentral:sRNA from 1 species